AUCUUCCAGCUGAGCAGUCACGUGAGUCAAGCUGCUGUUGCUGCUGAACUGCUAUGCUCUGUAGAGCCGAUCGCUGAAAGGACAUUUAUUGCUGUUUAUUUGUGAUAUUUGCUGCAGAAUCACCUCAAGGUGUUCCCUAUUGACCUGCAAACUAAUGCCUCAACUGCCUGUAACUGAUCUCUACCUGUGAAAUACCUGUACCUCUGUGGCUUAUUUUGAUCAAUACAUCCUCUAAACCUGAUGACCUUCUCCUCUUCCUUAUAUAAAGUUGUGCUCUGACCGGCUUCACUCAUAUAAUUAUAAUUAAAUCAGAUCCUGACAGUCAAAA